rnacentral:lncRNA from 1 species
UCUUUCUUGUUACCAAACAAAGCUGAUUACAAUGCCUUAAAUAAACAUGCACACGAUUAGGAAACAAACUAAUCUACCGGGUCUCAUGCCCCUAACCAAGCGCACGUCCCACCUCUCCUCACUUCCUGGAAUCUCUCCAUCGAGGCAACGGCAGGACUUGGCCAACUAAUUGACCGGCCGGCUAGGGGAUUGACUCCAUCAGCCAACAACCAUGCAGCAGUACCUU